rnacentral:rRNA from 1 species
GACGAACGCUGGCGGCGUGCUUAACACAUGCAAGUCGAACGGAAAGGCCUCUUUCGGGGGGUACUCGAGUGGCGAACGGGUGAGUAACACGUGAGUAACCUGCCCUUGACUUUGGGAUAACUUCAGGAAACUGGGGCUAAUACCGGAUAGGAGCUCCUGCUGCAUGGUGGGGGUUGGAAAGUUUCGGCGGUUGGGGAUGGACUCGCGGCUUAUCAGCUUGUUGGUGGGGUAGUUGCUUACCAAGGCUUUGACGGGUAGCCGGCCUGAGAGGGUGACCGGCCACAUUGGGACUGAGAUACGGCCCAGACUCCUACGGGAGGCAGCAGUGGGGAAUAUUGCACAAUGGGUGGAAGCCUGAUGCAGCAACGCCGUGUGCGGGAUGACGGCCUUCGGGUUAUAAACCGCUUUCGCUCAUGACGAAGCUUUGUGUGACGGUAGUGGGUAAAGAAGCACCGGCUAACUACGUG